rnacentral:lncRNA from 1 species
ACACUACGAAAUUAAAAAACGGACAUGUGAAACAUUAUAUACUUAAAUCAUAGUCAAGAGCGCAUGCAUUGUUACAUAAGAACAUGUAUGCGACAUUGACCAAGGUGAUGUUGUAGCAUUCCGAACCACUUUUCAUAAUCUGAAUAAAAAACAAUCAUAUCACAUAAUUAUAUUAAAGCAUAGAAAUGUGCAAUAUUGCAAGUGUGAUCAGCCAAUAAAAAAUAAUUGCUAAAACAGUUUGCUAAGUGCGCUAUAGUCACACAAAUACAUCACAAUCAGAAAUUGGCCAAGAAAACUUAAAUGAAAAAUAAAACACAAAUAAAAAUACUAUAUGUAGAUCUCGCGCAUAAGAGAGUAUACACAAAAAUUGGCCAAAAGAUCUUACAUGAAAAAGAGAAGGCAAAUAAAAAUACAAAAAAAGUCGCAUACAUAAGGCAUAUAUACAACAAUUGGCCAAGAGAGCUUACAUGAAAAAAGAAAAUAUAAAAAAAAUUACAUGAUACAGAAUUGCAUACAUAAGAGAAUAUACACAAGUUCUAGAAGUCUUGCAUGCACAUGAAUAUGAGACCCGAGAGAGAUAUAGGAUACAGUAUAAUGACCCAACAUAAUUUAACUGAUAGAAGGAACAAAUAUUGUAGAACAGAAGAAAAGCAGAAGAGAUAACGCACAAUGGCAGUUGGUUCACUAAGCUAGACUACUGUCAAAAAUGACAUGCUUUGCAUCAGCCUCCUUACAACACUGGCUUCCUCAAAGGCAAUGCAUGUGAGCUCUGCAGCGAAUAUGAAUGGUAAAUACGUGACGGUUGUGCUCAGGCCUGAUCUCCCAAAUCACCAGCACGGCCAGCAAUCUCCAAUACAUAUUAUCAUGUCUAGAUUAGAACAACUACUGCAAUAGAAUGACUCCUUUUUUUUUGUUACCUUUCAUGCAAGAAUUCAACAUUGCUCAUUUCUUGUUAUUAGGCACACCAUACCUAAUUGUAAAGAUAAAUGACAACAAUAAAUAUAUAGAAACAUCAUGCAUACUAUAGCUUUGGGCACACAAUUAUAAAGGAUUCCGGGACAAACAAGAAUGAAGUGUAAGUGUUUUGCUGAAUACUUUGCUAAAUAUGCACAAGAAACAUGAAUAUGUAUACAAUGCCACCAUAAAGACAAGAAAUAUUUCAGACAUGACUCACAGCUAGUUCCACUUACGUAGUUACAUACCUUAGGCAUCUAUCAAGCCAUGGAUCAUUUGUCAAGCAUAGUAUACACUUAUUUUAGUUGUUUGUUUAUGUGCCAAUAAUAUUAGCUCUGCAGCUCUCGUUUCAUCAAUCUUCUCACCUGAAAGGACAUCAAGCAAUCACUAAUGCAUACAUGAUGGUCUUUAGAGGGGGGAAAUGAGCAUGUAGACGGUAUGGUAUAUACAAUGGAACAAACAAUGAACAACAAUUGCAAUACAUUUUAUAUGUAGUGUGCAAUAAGAGAUGGAGAUAACCUAUCAAAAUAAAAAGAAAGACAUUUUAUAUAACCAUAUAGUAACCUGCAGUUUCCAGUUUUUAUGUCAACUCACCAAUAAAAGAAGCAUCAUCGUCUAAUAGUGGUAUAUGUGUCGAAACCGAUCUACUACGAUCAUUAGUAAAUUUUGGGGUGCUAAAAAUUUUUAACACAAAAUUAUGGCAUGCAUGAUAUCGAAGUCAAUUGCACAAGUAAGAAUUGCUAACAAAGAUGAAGAAAGAGUUCAUGUUAUCUCACAGUUUAUCACAUGGAGAAGGGACAUUUCUUCUUCUUUGUGUGUAAUAAAACUCCCUCUUUUAUUAGUCCUGUGCUACCUCGGUAUUUCAAUUUCUGCACCUGCAAAAGGGUGAAGAUAGAGUUAGGAAGAUAUUCGCGGUAGAAUGAUUAGGGUGGGUUUGGAACGACUUAGGCUUGUGCGUAAGAUAACUUCCUACGUAAGCUCUAGAUAAGACGUAGUGAGAAUAAACUGUGAGUAAUUGUAAUUGUAUGUUUGGAACGGCUUAUGAAUUUGGGUUUAUUGCCCUACAUUGCAAUUUAAAAGAUGCAAAGUAUAAAAUACCCCUGAACUUUCAAUUACCACUGUACCAAAUGUUACAGGGCGCUACUGAAUACUUGCCUGUUUCUGAACUUUAACAAUCAAUGGUUUGAUAAACAAUCAGAUAAAAAACUCACAAUGUCACACUCCCCGAUCCAUGACCAGAGUAGUAACCAAUCCACACUAUCCACUAUUUUUGUAGUUGCUGGUCCGUAUACACAUAAUUUAGAGAACAAAACAGCUCUCUCUAGUUGCUUCUCAAUAUACACAUUUAGAGUACGUAAUGGGCCUAGGCUGGCGGUAUAGCCCGUUAGUAUUAGGGUUAAUUAGAGAUAAGGGUCGCUUGCUUAGGGGUCAAGUAAAGCCUUGCUGGGAGUCAAGUAAACCUCUUUAUAUAAAUCAAUCUAAUCAAGCAAGAAUUAAAAAGGAAAUCCUUUCCCUCUUGCCCGGCCGUGGGCAAUAAGGCCCCCGGCCGGCCCUCUCGCACCCUCCUUCUAGCAGCACCAUAACAAUUUGGUAUCAGCUAGCUUCGAUUCGAUCAUGUCUUCACCGCCGCCCAACCCGUCUCUCCUGCUGUCGGUCACCUCGUCGCUUCCGGCGACCACCACGACCGUCGCCCCGCUCCUGCCCGCGCCGGGCUCCUCCGUCGCGCCCGCCCCCGCCGUCCUCACCCCGGAGGAGGUGUCCGGGACGCUGCGGGACCUAACCCAGGCGGUCCAGGAGGUCCGCAUGUUCUUGGCCGGGUCCUACGGGCCGCACCCGGCUGCGCCGCCCAUUGCCACCACCGCGCCGCCGUGGCAGCCGCCGCACCAGGCGGCCUCCGCCGCGCUCGCCGAGCCGCUGCAGCUGCCAUCCACCGCCACCACCGCCCCGCCCUAGCUGUAGUGGCAGCCGCCGCAGCAGCCGCUGCAGCUGCAGCAGCCACCGCCAGUCAGCUCCGGCCCCGCAUCGCCCGCGCUGGCGGGAGUCCCGAUCCACCAGGUCCGGUUCCCGCCCUCGCCGUCACCUCUUUCGUCUUGGAUCGCUACCCGCCACGUGUUGGCGGCAGUGAGGCUGCAGGCUGCUGCGCGCGACCUCCUAGUGCGUCGGCGUGUGCGGGAGAUGUGUGGUCUGCAGCUGCCGCUCCUCCAAAUUGCCCUUCGCUGCGCAAAGGACCUCGAUCUCGUCCGCUGCGUCGGGGAUCUUGGGCAUGCGGUUUCCCCCACGGGCGGUGGGCAUGCUGUUUUCCCCGCGGGCAGCGACCUCAAAGUCUGCGACAUCGGCGGUUGGGGGGGCGCACCCCUCUUCGUCAUUCUCCAUCGCAAGCCCUCCACUCUUACCUGUGCGGUGCAAACCAACAACCAUACACAUGCACUCCUUUUGUCCAGGUGGUGUCCAUGGGAUCCAGGUGGUUGUACACGUGCACGUCCGACGUGCGGAUGGUGUCCACUUUUUGUUAAGGGGUCCAAAAUAAAGCAUCCCAGUCCAUUUCAGGUUGAGAGUAAUAAAACAAGCCGAGAUGUAAAAAGGCUUGUUUUUAGGUGUUAGGUUUGUCUUGCGUCGAGUCAUGGUUAUAAGUUGGUUAGGCCGCAGCUCGAGGACAAGCUGCAUGUCCAGGUGGGGUGUAGUGUUAGAGUACGUCAUGAGCCUAAUGGGCCUGGGCUGGCGGUAUAGCCCGUUAGUCUUAGGGUUAAUUAGAGAUAAGGGUCACUUGCUUAGGGGUCAAGUAAAGCCUUGCUUGGGAGUCAAGUAAACCUCUCUAUAUAAAGAGAGGAGAUGUAUCAAUCUAAUCAAGCAAGAAUUAAGAAGAAAAUCCCUUCCCUCUUGCCCGGCCGUGGGCAAUAAAGCCCCCGGCCGGCCCUCUCGCGCCCUCCUUCUAGUAGCCACAUAACAUAUGACAUAUUGAGAGAGGGACAAUGAACUGCUCAAUCUCAGUUUAGGAACAAAAACUAAUUCUAUUGCAAGAAGAUAAUACCUUGAGAUGGAGGGCAGUUGGCGACCAGGUUGUAAAUCUGGUCACAUGAUUGGGGCCUGUAGGAAAGGAAGAGUAUUUCGUGGGAUUUAAUAGGAGAAGCGAAAGAUCUCUCUCUCCUUCACGUGGCUACUCCCACCCCACCCAUGGCUAGGACUAGGGGCACAUUUGAGGCAAAAGAGCUCUGCACACCCAUUUGCUACGCCUGAACCACCGCAUUCUCGGAACCAAGGCUCUGUCCUCUCCCCCAUCCUCCCACCCACCCAGAGUCAUUCGCCUUCCCCUCCUCUGCGCCGGCAAACAAGAUGAGUCAUGGAGGCGCCGCCGACGUGAAUCUCGGUGACGGCGUGUGCCCAUGUUUCCUGUGCAGUACCAGGAGAAGCAUGCGGCGUGCGCCCCCUGUGCUUCUCCCAUUCGCGGUGCAGGGGGGCGCACGCCACGUACUUCUCCUGGCACUGCACAAGAAACAUUUUUUCUUGAUUUGUUCAAGCAACCGGCGCAUCAAGCAAGGAAGGAGGCAAAGCAAAGAUGAUCCAUUUGUGCAGUACCAGGAAGACGGGAGGCUUGAGGGGCGUGGUGCAGAUGGUGCAGUCUAGCAGGGACUUGUCGAACUGGACAACGAUCUCCCCUCUCGGGGCGGCGGCGGUGGCCACCAUGAUCAUAGCUCCGGCCUCCACUUCUUCGUUGUCCUGCAGACUGUCGUCACCGAGAUUCACGUCGGCGGCACCUCCAUGACUCAUCUUGUUUGCCUGCGCAGAGGAGGGGAAGGCGAAUGACUCUGGGUGGGUGGGAGGGUGGAGGAGAGGACAGAGCCUUAUGGGUGGGGUGGGAGUAGCCACGUGAAGGAGAGAGAUCUUUCGCUUCUCCUAUUAAAUUUUGAAACCUGGCCCGCGAAAUACUCUUCCUUUCCUUAUCAAUUUAAAGUCAGUGGGGGUGUCCCCACUGUCCAGAGCUUCAAAAAAAUACUCUUCCUUUUCAUUUUCUCAGGGCAGCGGCGAGACAAGUUGACGCUGGGAUUGGGGCCGCAUAGACUGGAUCCACAAGGGAGUUCAGUGCAAAUUUGGCCGCAGUGGCGGCGGUUUUUUGCAAAAAUGCCAUGCCUUCCUUUGGAUUCGUUAGAUGAAGAUCUGACCGUCUAAAAUAACAUAUGACAGGCACACCAACAUCAGCAAGUCAGAUUUUUAUCUCUACUCUUAUAAAAAACAGAGUUGGUGAUGAUGGUGUGCCUGCCAUCCUGCAAUAUAGACCGUCCGAUUUAUAUCUGACGGAUAGGAAGGAAACUAUGGCAAUUUUGCAAAAAGAUACCCACACCCCUCUCCACAUUUGCAAAUAAGGCCUUCCCUCGUUCAUCCUUUUCUCUCACAAGAUAAAAAACUACUCACACAAAUGCAUCUUGAUGUUACGUGCAAUGCACGGGCAUCUUGUUAGUAGUAGUAGAGAUACCUUUUAGAUGAAUGAUUCCGUGCAGUAAUCUCCAACAAGAUAUUUGAAUUUUACGUGGGACUUGAACUUUCCGUAGAGCACUCCAAACAGCCGGCUGUGUAGAGCUUCCUGGGUGAGAUAGCAUGUUUGCAUAGCCUCUGUAAGAGUACAUCACUAAACAUGAUAUGUUGUGCGUGCUGAAAACACACCCAUCCUAUUCAGGUGCUAGACGACGCCACGACGAAGUCCUCAAAGCCUUGAACAUUAAGAGGGAUUUGCAAAAUUCUUCGAGCAUCGACUAGAUUAAAGAUAUUUCGAAUGAGCUCCUCGUAACACAAGCCCGAAAGUUGGAUCAAUAAGGUCACUGACCAAGGAUAAAACAGUUUGACCUCUAGGAGUAAUAAUCAUUCUGUCAAGGCUUGAAGGGAUCCAAGGGUUCACAUCCUCUCCAGCCCAAUCCUCCAAAUAUAUCCAAGCUUGAAUGUCUCGAGUCCCUUCAUAAUACUUUGCCAUGUGAAUGAAGAACCAUCUUUAGAACUUGCUUGCAAUAGGCUUCCAUUAGGAUAGUAUUUAAGCCUUAAGCACUUUAGCACAAAGAGAAUUCAGGUUAGAGAUUAAUCUCCAACAUUGCUUAUUCCAAGAUUGGAGGAACGAAGAACCCAUAACGCCCUCACAUUUUGGAAAACACAACUUCCACUAAGAAUACUAGACAAUCUAUAAGAGCAACUCCAACCGGGUGACCCAACCGGACGUGCGCUUUGUCCACCUUUUGUCCGUUUGGAUCGACCGUGCGGACGCCCGUGCCCGCUUUUUCAUUUGGGUCGGUGCGUGCACCCAACACUGGCUCGACCCAUAUUUUUGGGAUGCGGACCUUUUAAAUAAAAGAGUAAUCACGUUCAAAUUUAACAUAAUUAUACAUUAAAAACUGGUCAAAUGCCGACCAAAGUCCACUUAAACAUUAAACAUUAAUUAAACAUAAAAGCCUCGGCGCCGCCGCGCACACUGCCCUAAGCGUCUUCAUUCGCCUGCACCGCCGGCUGGACUGCUUGGUCGCGAGCACGUCGCUCCUCCUCUUCGUGCUCUAGCUGCGUCAGCCGCUCGCCCUCUUCCCGCUCCCUCACCAGCGCUUGGGCCUUCCAAUGCUGGAGGUAGGCUUGCUCCUGCGCCAGCGUCGUGCCCGAGCCACACGGGGGAGGGAGGGGGGGGGGGGCGUUGACCCACUCUCGCAGCUCGCCGGUCUAGACGUAGCGCUCCGCGGGCUCCGCCUCGGCCUUGGGCGCCGGGAGCCUCCUCGGCGGCGACGGCGGAACCACGCAGUCGCCGGCUGCAGAGAGGGUGAGGGCCUCCGCCAACCUAGCCUCGUAGGCCGCCUCCUUGUCCUCCUCCGCCUUGCACCGCUCGUCCUUGAUGGAGGUCUGCAUGGCCGCCGCUAGCGCGGCCUGGUACGCAGCCUCCUCCUCCAGCUGGACCACAGGGGGCGGCGGAGGGUGGUUGUGGUACUGCUGCUGGACGCUAAGGCGGCGUUGCUCCUUGUGCUCGAGGGCAAACCACAUCUCCCAAUCGGGAGAGUUUGGCGCGUACGCCGGAUGCGCGCUGCUCUGGCGUCAAGAGCGCCCGCCGCCUGCGCACCUCCACGGCGUGCGCCCGCCGCAACCGCGGCACCGGGAUCCGUUGUGGAUCCAAAUGCCAGUCGUGCGGCAGGGUGACGUCUGGGUACGGCAGUGGCUGUCGGUACUCCCAGUGCCACCGUGCUUGGUGCAUGGAAUGUGCAGGCGCUGCCUAGCGGGGCGGGCAGGCGCCGGCGCCGGCGGAGGAGGAAGAGCGCGGGAGAAGGAAGCGCAGGGGGUGAACUUCCCCUUGCUCUUGCUGGAGCCGUUGAAGAAACCCAUGGCUAGGGUUUGGUUGUCGACGAGGAGGAAGCACGCGGGGNNNNNNNNNNNNNNNNNNNNNNNNNNNNNNNNNNNNNNNNNNNNNNNNNNNNNNNNNNNNNNNNNNNNNNNNNNNNNNNNNNNNNNNNNNNNNNNNNNNNNNNNNNNNNNNNNNNNNNNNNNNNNNNNNNNNNNNNNNNNNNNNNNNNNNNNNNNNNNNNNNNNNNNNNNNNNNNNNNNNNNNNNNNNNNNNNNNNNNNNNNNNNNNNNNNNNNNNNNNNNNNNNNNNNNNNNNNNNNNNNNNNNNNNNNNNNNNNNNNNNNNNNNNNNNNNNNNNNNNNNNNNNNNNNNNNNNNNNNNNNNNNNNNNNNNNNNNNNNNNNNNNNNNNNNNNNNNNNNNNNNNNNNNNNNNNNNNNNNNNNNNNNNNNNNNNNNNNNNNNNNNNNNNNNNNNNNNNNNNNNNNNNNNNNNNNNNNNNNNNNNNNNNNNNNNNNNNNNNNNNNNNNUUGAGCCUGAAAUGGGUCGGCGUGGACAUGAAGCGGGCACGUUUUGAGUUUGGGUCGGCGCGUUGGGCCGGCGUUUUGAUCUGCGACGACUCAAACGGACACUGGCAGACGAAAUGGGUUGCCCGGUUAGAGUUGCUCAAGUGUCCACCUUUGUGAAGAUUUGAAAACUGUCGUUCAACAAGCAAAUGGGUCAAAAUUGCUCAAUCUGAACAACAUCCACUUUCUUGGGGAGAAGCAUGAUAUCGCCCCCCCCCCCCUGCCAGCAUCGUGUCGUCAACACAUCGGUUUCCUCGCUGGAGAGUUGAGGUAUAUCUUCAGUGGCAUUUUCACCCAGGGAUGGAAAAUUGAAUUACGGAGAGCCAAAAGGACGCUUAUAAUAAUUAGCUGUAUAAGCUUUCAGAUGAUCCUGACCCACAGUGGUUCUCUCAUCUUGUUCAAGCUGGAACAUACAUUCUCUUUUUCCAAUAUUUUUCAUUUGCAAUCAAAUGGAAGAACUUCGUAUUGCUAUCACUCUCACGGACAAGUCUUACUUUUGCCCGCCGAGCCCAAUUAAAUUCUUCCUCUCACUUAGCCUCAAUAUCUGUUGCAGAGAGGGGAAUCGAUUCUGCCUUAAUGUCCAAAGCAUUAACAAUUGCGAGAAGACGAUCUUUUUCUUUCUUGUACUCACCGCUAAUACACUUAUCCCAACCCCCAAGGAAUCGUCUAAGGUGCCGGAUUUUAAAUUGCCACUUCCCAAUGUGUCUUCUUUGACCAUUCAUGACCUACAGUAGCUGUCGUAGUCAAAAAACUGCUAGUGAUUACAUGGGUACUAAUGACCGAACCGAAGCCCAAACUGUUGUGUGGGUAGGGUCAGGUCCGGAUGAACUUGUGAACAUAUCUCACAACGAUUGUAAUGGUCCAGGCUGAGUAAUACAAACUACUUUAAAGGGCAGCCCGAUGCAUGUAGUUUCCGCUUGCAGGGUCUGGGAAAGGGUCCGACCACUUUGGAUGUAUACGCGGCAUUCCCUACAUUUCUGCAAGAGUCUGUUUUCAGGAUUCAAACCCGUGACCUCAUGGUCACAAGGCUCCCCUUCUAAUACAAACUACUUUCUUGCAAAUAAAAAAAAACAUGACAUUUGCUAGUAAUAAGCAGAUGUACACUUUGUUAUUAAGACCUAAACAAAUACGGUGUUGCGGGUAACACAAAGAUUGGCCUAUCUUCAACACGCCAUAUUCUAAAAAAAAAAUCACACAUCAUUUUCUCAGAUGUUGCUUCCAUGCACAUACUGUGCUUUCAUGUCUAUUUUACCCUCGACCAUUCUACGGCUAGUGAGGCAAGUAGGAGAGACUUAACAUUUGCCUACAUUCUGAUCUGAAACCUUUCUUGGAUGUUUACGUUGCUCCAGUAAACAUCUGCAGCAGAAAUCAGGAAGAAAUAGGAAGCGCCAAGUUGGCUUAUAGCCAUUCUUAUCUUCGAUAAAUUAGUCUUAGAAAGCGCUAAAAUUAGUAAAAUUGGUUUUGAUGCGCACGUAGUCACUAUGCUAACCACAGAAGCCACAAGUCAAAUAUAGCUGACGAACUUCAAACCUUUCAGGGACGACCCAAAAAAAGGAACAUGCAUGCCAUGGUUCCCUGACGCUACCCAAAAAGUGUGUGGCUUCCCUUCUGCUCGCACCCCGCCCAUCCAACCCUUUGCUCCAUUUCGUGUCAUGCUUCCUCAUGCUUUGCUUUCCCCUUUGCCCCAUUCUUCCUCCUUCAAGCAUUUUCCCCUUCUCCUUGCAUUUACUUUCUUGCCAAAUUUAGGACAGCCCCCACCAGUUCCUCCUCCAUCUGAUGCAUCAUUCUAUCCUGUGUGUUCCCAAUGGAGUUGUCAGGGUAGGGUAAGGUGUCCAUUUGCACGGGGAAGAGGGAGGAGCGAAUCCUUGUUGCUCGAUCUCUCUUUCCCGUAUUCCUCGACUUCAUUCUUCAUUAUCAUUGCGGCUACUUCAUCUGAAAGGAGGAGCAAAAGAUCCUUUUGUUGAUCCAGGAAGAAAAGAAAAAGGUGGCGCAAGAACAGCUUGCUUGUGUAAUUCAAAUGCCUCUUCCUUGAUUUGGGGAAAAGGGAAGGCUUGCAAAUUCUGAAGCAUGGAGGAGAUGCCAAGCGAGAAGAAACAAAGUGAAUCUGGAUCAAUUAAUUGCGCACCUAGUUCAAGCAGCAGCCAGGGCAUUCCCAAUUCACUGGUGAAUAAAGAUGAAGACCUCGCUAUUGGGGUGGUAACAGAGUUAAAGAAGGAGGGGACGCCCAUUGAACAGAAGGAGGAAAGGGCGUCAACGGCUAUUGACUUGAAGGAGGAGGGUACAGCCACCCAACUGAAGGAGGAAGGGGCUUCCAAGGAGGAUGAGGCAGCUGUUGACUCCAAGGAAGAGGGGGCGAAAACCGAAUUGGAGGAAAAGAUGAUGUUAUCCCAGAAGAGAGACUAUGAGAAGGCUAUCGAACUUAAGGGAGAGGGGACAAAGCUAUUCCAGAGGCGGGAUUAUGAGGGGGCGGCCCUUGAGUUUGAUAAGGCAAUAAAGCUCUUGCCAAAGGGGCACGAUGAUAUCGCCUUCCUCCACUGCAAUAUUGCUGCAUGUUACAUGCAUAUGAAACCUGAGAGUUAUGAACGAGCGGUUGACGAGUGCAACGCAGCACUGGAAGCAUCGCCGAAGUAUACAAAUGCAUUGCUGAAAAGGGCACGAUGCUUUGAAGCAUUGGAUAGGCUGGAUCUGGCUUGUGAGGAUGUGCAGAAGGUGCUGAACUUGGAACCAAACAAUGUCACUGCAUUGGAGCUCUACGAGAGCCUUAGGGAGGAGAUGGAGACAGAAAAUUUGUUGGAGAAUCAGGUUGUGUCACCGGUAGAGCCUAAGGCCGGUUUUUCAAAAGAGAAGAUCCAGAGGAAAGUAUCUCGCAGAUUUAGAAACAAUUCCAUAGUUGAGGAGGUGUGGUUGAUUCACGAUGAUGAUGAGCAAGAGAAUGAUGAAGAUGGCAACGAAGAAGAGUGCAGUGAAGAAAACCACAUGGAGAAUGAUUUAAGCAAUGAAGGAAAUGAUACCCGGGAGAUGCCAUCGAGGCAUAAUCAUGACGAGGAUAAAUGGAACACGGAACAGAACCAGGUGAAGCAUGGUCAGCACAAACUAGGAGCAGAUGAUGAAGGCCAACGACCGCAGCAUGCUCCGCGGGAUGUGGAACAAAUGCACCACAAAGAAACAGAGAGUCAAAAUAAGCAUGAAAAGCCCCUCAAAGAGAUAAAGGUGAGAAGUGGUCAGGAUCAGCAGGUAAUGCAUACAAAGCAGAAUCAAGUCGCCGAUAUGGAUGUGCGUCAAAAGCAAAUUGAGGAUGUACCAACCACUAGUCGUAGCAACCAAGAAAUUCACACUGAAAUGUAUGAAAGGUUUAUCAAUGGCAACCAAGCAAGACGCUCCUUACAGCGGCAUACUAGUCGUGGAGGGGACAAGCAGGAAAAGCAAACUUCAGUUAAAGUAGCAAGUCCUGGGGGAGAUGAGCACCAAAAACAGAAGCGCGCAUAUCCUACCGAUGGAGAAACAAAGACUGUAAAGUUUGUUAUGGGAGAUGACAUAAGGAUUGCACUUGUUCCAGAAGACUGUAGUCUACGGCAAGCGAUAAACGUAGCUCGGUGUAAGUACAGUCCCCACCUGAAGGCAAUGCUUCUUAAGUUUCAGGACAUAGAGGGUGACUUGGUGACCAUUACAUCAACUGAGGAACUAAGGUGGGUUGAGGAUCUGAAGCAAGGACCCGCUCGGCUGUACAUAAAAGAAGUAAGUCCUGAGCGCGAGAUCACCAAGGACAUCGUCAUGCCCAAUAUUUCUACGGCAACACUGGAAAGAAAGCAUAGCAUCUCUGAGUGCGGAAGCGCUAGACACCCAGCAGAAGACAAGAGCUCAUCAUAUGCUGAUGACUGGAUGGUGCAGUUCGCUCGUUUAUUCAAGAACCAUGUUGGUUUUGAUUCUGAUGCAUUAGUGGAUCUCCGUGACCUCGGUACGCGGCUCUGCAUUGAGGCAAUGGAAGACACCAUCACAAGCGAAGAAGCCCAGGAGAUAUUUCAUGCCGCAGAGGCAAAAUUUCAGGAAAUGGCAGCUUUAGCAUUGUUUAACUGGGGCAACAUACACAUGUCUCGCGCAAAGAAACGACUAUUUUUAUCAGAGGAUGCUUCAAAGGACUCUGUACUUUCCCAGGUCAAAACCGCAUAUGAACUGGCAUGCGCUGAAUACGCCAAAGCUGGAAAGAAGUUUGAAGAUACUGUGGAUGUAAAGCCAGACUUUUAUGAAGGCCUUAUUGCGCUUGGAAAUCAACAGUUUGAGCAAGCAAAACUUUCUUGGCGUUAUGCAGAUGCUUGUAAGGUAGACAUGCGAACUGAAGUACUAGAGCUAUUCAAUCGUGCUGAGGAUAAUAUGGAAAAAGGAAUGGAGAUGUGGGAGGGAAUAGAAUACUUGCGACUAAAAGGGUUAUCUAAAUCAAAAAAGGAGAAAAUCCUACUGGAUAAGUUGGGAUUGGAUGGGCACCAAAAAGAUAUAACAGCAGAUGAGGCGUUUGAGCAAGCUUCAAAUAUGCGAUCACAGCUAAACAUUUCAUGGGCUACCAUUCUUUAUGAGCGAUCAGUAGUAGAAUUCCAGUUAGGUCUUGCUAGCUGGGAGGAGAGUCUCACCGAAGCAAUUGAGAAAUUUAAGACCGGUGGAGCUUCGCUGGCAGAUAUCAGUGUAAUGAUAAAGAACCAUUGUGCGAAUGAGAAAACUCAAGAAGGUAUGAUGUAAUCGUGUGACCUUUUUCUGUAAUUUCUUUGUUCCUCUGUUGCUAAAUCAUCAAUACCAAAGCUUGUAUAUGUACGCCAUGUAUGCUAAUAAUUUCAUGCUUCUUAUAAUGAUUAUUCUGGGAAAUGUAAAGCUUCUGCAUGCAGUUCAAGUUUUACUACCUCAUUCAUUGAGAAAGACAAUCUAAACCCUAACAUAGGGAGCCAUCUUCGAAUAUAUUUAGUGGACCACUAGUGUUAACCAAAAUUGGUGGAUGGCUAUUUGUAAUGGUAGAAAAAAAAAGACUACGACACAUUUCCAAAUAUCCAACUUAUACAGACUUGUAUGUUAUCGCGAAGAAACACAAACAUUAGGAUCUGCCAUAGUCAGUGUGUAGCUUGCCACUAUCCAAAGACAAUUGGUUUCAUCAGCGGAUAGUAAGGUAUGUCCACAACAACUGUCAUGCUACAAUUUGUAAUAAUAGAUUCCGGAAGCAACUUCAGUAUUACUUGAGAAAUGUUUAUGGACAAGAAAAUCAGAUAUCAGUAAUUUGUCUUGGUCAUGUUAUGCCUUACAAAUAGCAAAAAAAUACAUUUUAACUUAACUAAUCUGCUAUGCUAGAAGUUCGAAAUUUUAGAUCCUCUUAACUACAUUCAAGGGCAUAUAAGUUGUUAAGAACUUUCUCUUUGUUAUUCAGGAUUGAGCUUCAAGAUUGAUGAGAUAGUUCAAGCAUGGAACGAAAUGUACGAUGCUAAAAAGUUGGAAAAUGGUAGUUCUUCUUUCCGUCUUGAACCUUUAUUUCGAAGACAGCCUUCGAAGCUGCAUAAUGUACUAGAGCACAUAAAGUACACAUGAGCUUGUAUUUAACAUAGGACUUGAUGCUGUCGACAUGGAUACGAAUGUUGAUACUAAUUGAAAAAGGUAAUUUCAUUCUUUAAUGAGAUGUAUUAUUGAGGUUAUUCCAAGAUAUCUAUUUGAUGUAAUACACUAGUCCUAGAAAAGCAACCGCGGCAACUUUUUCACCAUGCGGAAUCAUUAAAUGUAAACCAUAAUAAUGACUGGAUAUAUAAAAAUUAAGAAUGUGAUACAAUAAAUCACAAUAUCCCUUAUACAGUGACCAAAGCAAUAAUACCAUAAUGAUAUAACGAAAUGAAGUGUUGUGGGCACUGGGCCACAUUUCACUCUAAUACUCCAACCCUUUCCAAUCAAGCAUCUCCCCCUCUAGACUUCCUCGCUAAGCAGCAACGAUGCUGAAAGAAACUCGAUGGUCAUGCCGGGGACCCUGGAGAACCGUCUCUGAAGAGUUCUAGCGUCCACUAGCACUGGAGGUGGUGGCAUCUAGAUCAGGGCAUCGCCCCUGGGAUAGGAUGACAACAGUGGGUGGCCGAAAAGGCGCAACAUGUACAUCUCCUUUAGUCAUUAGAUCCAUUGAUGGUGACAGCAUGGCAAGGGCGGAGAUGCUUUGAGGAGGCCACUAGCUAGCUCAGUUUUUCAUUGUUCAGGCCUGUCAACAGAGCAGAUCAGUGGACAGCUUUCAUAGUUUGGAUUGUAAUGUUGAAGGUUAAAUGUUCAGGGCUAAAAACCGGACUUCUGCAAGAAGAGCUGAAAAGAAGAUGGUGUUUUCUAUAUUGUCGCAAAAUAAUGUAUUAUAGAGAUGUUCUGCUUUUACUGUUAGUGGAAUCGGUUCUUACACUGAUUAUAGUUCCUCUGUUGCUGAAGAGGAUGCUCUAUAUAGAUGACCAAAGAAACAAAGCUUUGUCCCAAGAUUGAUUACCAGAAUUGAGCAAUGGGUAUUAGAAUAGUUAUAUGUUUGGUUCAUCAAUUAUUGCCGCGGGUUUAAAUUGCAACCCAGUUUCAAUGAUGUUUUAUUUGCAAGUCCAACCGUCAAUACCGUAACAUUGUACCCUUUGCCCCAAUAGAAGGGUAGCUUUGAGCUGAGGUGGACUUUGGCUAACUGAUGUGGCAGCCACAUCAGCUCUCCACAUCCAAAAUAAAAAAACAUCAUUACAAGAUUUUUUAUUGGCCCUACGUGGCAUCCCUCCCGUACCUUAUUAUCUCCCCUUACUCGUCUCUCUCCCUUGUCUCGGCAAGUGGAAACAUAUGCCAUGGAUGCAGUGGCAUCUCCUCUUCUUCAUUACACACUCUAGCAUCCCUCAGCCGCUUGCUUUCUCAUUCACCCUAGGAAACAUUUGUUCAGCAUUCUCCAUAUCGUCUAGAAGUUAAGGACCUUCACAGUCUGGGUACUCCCGGAAGAUGUCAUUUGGUGGCAGAAGCAUCACUGAGCGGAUACUCCACUCUAAGAUCCCAAGGGUGUCACUUGGUGGUACCCGGAUCUGCAAGAUGAGAAAUUUCACAUCACCUCCUGGCCAUGCCAUCCACUUCCUGGUUAUCUAUCUCCAGUGAGGGACUGUCCGCCUACGCCUGCCAAUGCUAUGGAGGUAUGAAUUGAUGAAUAACACCAUGUCCAACACCUAGAGCAGCCUGGUGGGUGAUGUCAAUGUGUUAUUCUGUUAGUAUUAUUUUGAUUAUUGGAGAAACUUGAGUUCUCAGCAUAUCUUUUCCAUAUGUUACAGGCUCUGUCAACUCAUCUUGUCUUGAUGUGUUUUGUGAGCACACCAAGCCAUGCUCAAAUACGAAAUUAUCUUGACAUGUUCUGCAGGCUGUUGACUGUUCCGAAUUGUCUAUAUUCAUGAACUGAAACAGAUGAUAUUUCCAAUUCAAGCUACAAGGGGUGUUCAGGAUACACUUUGCAAAGCUUACAAGAUAGUACUUAUUUCACAAGCUGCAGCUCUGUUUUACAGAUGCGAGAGACCCAACUUCGCAUUAUUAGAUACAUAGUUAAUCUCAACUGUUGUAGACAUAUAAGAGUUAAAGUUCAGUGUGAAAGUUUAUAGUUUUGGAAUGAUCGAAUGGUAUGUACUUUAUUAGAAGGAUUUGGCAUAUGUACUCUGCUGAAAAUAGAGUAACAGUUCACAUCCACUAUUUGUGUGCAUGAACAGUACUGGGUUAGCAGCACAGAUGGAACCUGACAAUAGAUUAGGGAUAUGAUUCGAUAAGUUUCUCUCUAUUAGAAAUAUGCUUCCUUAGAUUUAGAGAUCGAUUCUUAGUGGUUAAUUAUUAUCCCCAAAUUGCGAUUUUCAGCUAUGAUCUCUUUCUUUGGUACAUAUCGUAGAUCCGUUCGGUCCUCCUUCGCCUGGUGUUAUUUUACUUCUAAUAACUUGCUUCAAUGGAAUUUUACUCCAGGUACAAACUAUCAUGCAUUGCACAUAUGCAGAAAGGAGAAAGGCACUCCUAUUGAUGAUUUUUUUAAAUAUUUACUGUACAAGGGAACUGCAUAAUUUUGAAGGAUUCAUGGAGCCAGAGGCACUCAACUUAAUGAACAACCAUCCGAUCCUACUCUACUAGAAGAGUUCUGCAUUUUUUUGUUCAGUUAUAUGAAAUAUUCAUUCAUAUAUCUCGGUUACCUAAAACUGCACAUGCAUCUUAGGAUGCAGAGGCCAGGGGUAAUAAAAGCUUCUAUUUCUAAAAGAUAACCCACAGCUGCACAUUACUCAUUGUAAAAUUCAACUCCAGGAAGUGUGCUAAUUUAAGGUCAUAUAGAGUGAGGUGGAGACAAUAAGAUUUAUUUAUUUUACUUUGUGGGAAAUGACCCUGUAUGUUUCAGGAGAGCUACAAGGAUACAAUACAGACGAAUGAUGACUCAUGAAUGAUUAACUAAUUACUCAAAGAGGAACAAGAGAAGAGUUAAGUAUAAGCUCACAACCUCAAGAGAGGCCAAAGCAAUCCUACUAACGACAGAACAACUGGAGGGCACAACAAAUUGAGAUCAGCGAGGCUACUCCCCUUCCUGCUUAUAUGUUCAACUGGAUGCGCACCAGUUUCUAGCACUCGCGUAGCAAACCUGAUCCUAUACACAAGAGCGCAAGGGUUUGACGGUAACCUGGGAUCUGAGGAGUGAAGAGAGAGUGGCCGAGUGUUACGUCCCUCUUCUCGAUCUAUUCCACCAUGGAUCUGGAUACAAGGUCUUUGGAAGGAAUUGGGAAAGGGAGUUAGUCUUGGAGAGGGAGAUGGGGUUCGAGAGUGGGAGGAAGGGGAGAAAUGAAUACAACCGAUUAGAGCAUCUGCAAUAGUUACAACAGAUUAGACAUCUCUACGAUUAAAACAGAGUCGGACGUCGUUUUCGUUCGACCUCAUCCCUUGCGUGAGAUCCACCCCUCGUACUCCCGCAGAGAAAUCGCAGCAAAUAC